rnacentral:rRNA from 1 species
AAGACUCUCGGCAACGGAUAUCUCGGCUCUUGCAUCGAUGAAGAACGUAGCGAAAUGCGAUACUUGGUGUGAAUUGCAGAAUCCCGUGAACCAUCGAGUCUUUGAACGCAAGUUGCGCCCGAAGCCAUUAGGCCGAGGGCACGCCUGCCUGGGUGUCGCACAU